rnacentral:tRNA from 1 species
GGGCACAUGGUGUAGUUGGUUAUCACAUCCGCUUAGCAUAAUUAGCUUGCGGGGGGUGCUGGGUUCAAUUCCCAGUGUGUCCA